rnacentral:rRNA from 1 species
UACGUAGGUGGCAAGCGUUAUCCGGAUUUAUUGGGCGUAAAGGGAACGCAGGCGGUCUUUUAAGUCUGAUGUGAAAGCCUUCGGCUUAACCGGAGUAGUGCAUUGGAAACUGGGAGAUUUGAGUGCAGAAGAGGAGAGUGGAACUCCAUGUGUAGCGGUGAAAUGCGUAGAUAUAUGGAAGAACACCAGUGGCGAAAGCGGCUCUCUGGUCUGUAACUGACGCUGAGGUUCGAAAGCGUGGGUAGCAAACAGG